AGUCAGAAACACUUUCUUUGAUAAUAAUAAAUGUUUAUUUAAAAUGAGUUCCUUUAUUUACAAAUAAACGCAAUUUCUUAAUUUUGUUACGAAGGAAAUUUUUGUAUGAAAGAAAUGGAUGUAUUAGCAACUGUUGAGCCAUUGUUCGCAUCUGUUGUACAUUAUUCUUUCGUUUCGUUUGUCUUGAUUCUGGCAAUAUUAAUAUUUACUUUAUAUACAGCUGCUUGCUGGCUGAUAAUGUAUCAUGCUAUUUUAAUUGAUGUUAAGUUCAUGAACGAUCUUAUUUAUGGGGAAGAGAGCGACAACCGAAGAAAAGACAAGAAAAAAAAAUAAUUAAUUUUGUAUAGAAUAUGACUAAUGCUGAACAGAUGUCUCUAUAUGAUCUGAAAUUAUAAAGAAAUUACAAAAGAAAUUUCCUUCUUGUAUGUACAUUGACUUAAAGAAGCAUAUUGUCUCAUACUGCCUUUUUUUUACAUUUUAAAUGUCUUAAAAAUGUAUUUUCUUCAUAAGCUUCAUAAAGAAAAUCUUGCGUAUUAUAUAUAGUUCAUGUGUAUUAUUUGAAUAAAUAAAAAAUUUAUGUACUGUUUUAA